CCUACUGACCUGUAGUCUCUAUAACGAAUUACAAAUAUUAAUUGAACUUUCGGUAUCCAAUAUCCAGAUAGUAGUAUCACAGAUAGAAAAAUUAUAAGGAGUUAUCAUAUAAGUACCUUAUGAAGUAACAAAUUGAUUGCUUCUCUUAUUCUUUGGCCUAUUCGGAUCAAGAAAAGCUAUAUAUGUAGGAUAGUUCCUCUUUCAAUAAUCCAGCUUCUUAUAGAAGAAGCAUUCUGUCUGGCUCUUGUC
rnacentral:lncRNA from 1 species